rnacentral:rRNA from 16 species
UCUCAAAGAUUAAGCCAUGCAUGUGUAAGUAUAAAUAAUUCUACUUUGAAACUGCGAAUGGCUCAUUAUAUCAGUUAUAGUUUAUUAGAAAAAAUGUACUACUUGGAUAACCGUAGUAAUUCUAGGGCUAAUACAUGAGUAAAUCCUCGACUUUGAAGAGGUGUGUUUAUUAGUAUGAAAACCAUAUGCUUCGGCAUGAUAGUGAGUAAUAAUAACCUUUCAUAUCGUAUGUUGAAAUAACGAUAGUUCUUUCAAGUUUCUGCCCUAUCAGCUUUCGAUGGUAGUGUAUUGGACUACCAUGGCAGUA